GACGAACGCUGGCGGCGUGCCUAACACAUGCAAGUCGAACGGGGCUCUUUGGAUCGAGACUUCGGUCAAGUGAAUCUGAGCUUAGUGGCGGACGGGUGAGUAACGCGUGAGCAACCUGCCUUUCAGAGGGGGACAACAGUUGGAAACGACUGCUAAUACCGCAUGACGCGUAGAGGUCGCAUGAUCUUUACGCCAAAGAUUUAUCGCUGAAAGAUGGCCUCGCGUCUGAUUAGCUAGUUGGUAAGGUAACGGCUUACCAAGGCAACGAUCAGUAGCCGACCUGAGAGGGUGACCGGCCACAUUGGGACUGAGACACGGCCCAA
rnacentral:rRNA from 1 species